AUUGAACGCUGGCGGCAGGCCUAACACAUGCAAGUCGAGCGAGCGGCGGACGGGUGAGUAAUGUAUGGGAAACUGCCUGAUGGUGGGGGAUAACUACUGGAAACGGUAGCUAAUACCGCAUACCAUCAGAUGUGCCCAGAUGGGAUUAGCUAGUAGGUGGGGUAACGGCUCACCUAGGCGACGAUCCCUAGCUGGUCGGAGAGGAUGACGAGGCCCACUGGAACUGAGACACGGUCCAGACUCCUACGGGAGGCGGCGGUGGGGAAUAGUGCACAAUGGGCGCAGGCCUGAUGCAGCCAUGCCGCGUGUGUGAAGAAGGGCUGCGGGUUGUAAUGCUCUUUCAGCGGGGAGGCGUUACCCGCAGAAGAAGCACCGGCUAACUCCGUGCCAGCCGCCGCGGUAAUUC
rnacentral:rRNA from 1 species